rnacentral:rRNA from 1 species
AUUGAACGCUGGCGGCAGGCUUAACACAUGCAAGUCGAACGAAGUGGCGAACGGGUGAGUAAUACGUGGGUAACCUGCCCUCCUUUUUGGGAUAAGCCUUGGAAACGGGGUCUAAUACCGAAUAAAGGGGGAUGGGCUCGCGGCCUAUCAGCUUGUUGGUGGGGUGAUGGCCUACCAAGGCGGUGACGGGUAGCCGGCCUGAGAGGGUGACCGGCAACAGUGGGACUGAGAUACGGCCCAGACUCCUACGGGGGGCAGCGGUGGGGGAUAUUGAACAAUGGACGAAAGCCUGAUCCAGCCAUGCCGCGUGUCUGAAGAAGGCCUUCGGGUUGUAAAGGACUUUUGUUAGGAAAACGGUACCUAAAGAAUAAGCACCGGCUAACUACGUGCCAGCAGCCGCGGUAAUU